rnacentral:rRNA from 1 species
CUGGCGGCGUGCCUAAUACAUGCAAGUCGAACGGUCUUUCUAUGGAAGCUUGCUUCCACUGAGAAGAUAGUGGCGAACGGGUGAGUAACACGUGGGUAACCUGCCCAUAAGAGGGGGAUAACAUCCGGAAACGGUGCUAAUACCGCAUAGUUUUCUUGAUCGCAUGAUUGAGAAAGGAAAGACGGCCUUUGUGCUGUCGCUUAUGGAUGGACCCGCGGCGUAUUAGUUAGUUGGUGAGGUAACGGCUCACCAAGACGAUGAUACGUAGCCGACCUGAGAGGGUGAUCGGCCACAUUGGGACUGAGACACGGCCCAAACUCCUACGGGAGGCAGCAGUAGGGAAUCUUCCGCAAUGGACGAAAGUCUGACGGAGCAACGCCGCGUGAGUGAAGAAAAGGUUUUCGGAUCGUAAAACUCUGUUGUCAGAGAAGAACAAGUUGGAGAGUAACUGCUCCAGCCUUGACGGUAUCUGACCAGAAAGCCACGGCUAACUACGUGCCAGCAGCGGC